GACGAACCGAGCGAACGUUAUUCGGAAUCACUGGGCUUAAAGGGCGCGUAGGCGGGCCGUCAAGUCGAGGGUGAAAGCCCCCAGCUCAACUGGGGAAGUGCCUCCGAUACUGGCGGUCUCGAGGGGGAUAGGGGCGUGCGGAACUUCCGGUGGAGCGGUGAAAUGCGUAGAUAUCGGAAGGAACACCGGUGGCGAAAGCGGCGCGCUGGAUCCCUUCUGACGCUGAGGCGCGAAAGCCAGGGGAGCGAACGGG
rnacentral:rRNA from 1 species